rnacentral:rRNA from 1 species
GUGCACCAGUCGCGAACCUCCGCAAUACACGAAGUGUGACGGGGCCAUCCCGAGUGCCGUCCGCUGAGGACGGCUUUUCCCCAGUGUACAUAGCUGGGGGAAUAAGGAGAGGGCAAGCCUGGUGUCAGCCGCCGCGGUAAUACCGAGCUCUCCGGAGUGGUGGGACGCUUAUUGGGCCUAAAGCAUCCGGUAGCCGGCUGGGCAAGUCCUCCGUUAAAUCCAACGAUUCAAUCGUUGGACUGC